rnacentral:misc_RNA from 1 species
UGGCUCUGGCAUCGAUGAAGAACGCAGCGAAAUGCGAAAAGUAAUGUGAAUUGCAGAAUUCAGUGAAUCAUCGAAUCUUUGAACGCACAUUGCGCCCGCUGGUACUCCGGCGGGCAUGCCUGUCCGAGCGUCAUUUCAACCCCUCAGGCCCCCCUUCCGGGGGCGGGCCUGGUGCUGGGGCUCGGCCGCUACCCCGCGGCCGUCCCCUAAAUGCAGUGGCGGCCUCGCCGUGAUCUCUUGCGUAGUACUAUACCUCGCACUGGAAAGCGACUUGUCCACGCCGUAAAACCCCCAAAUUUUACUGGUUGACCUCGGAUCAGGUAGGAAUACCCGCUGA